rnacentral:rRNA from 1 species
CCUACGGGGGGCUGCAGUGGGGGAUAUUGCACAAUGGGGGAAACCCUGAUGCAGCGACGCCGCGUGGGUGAAGAAGCGCCUCGGCGCGUAAAGCCCUGUCAGCAGGGAAGAAAAUGACGGUACCUGAAGAAGAAGCCCCGGCUAACUACGUGCCAGCAGCCGCGGUAAUACGUAGGGGGCAAGCGUUAUCCGGAUUUACUGGGGGUAAAGGGGGCGCAAACGGCGAUGCAAGCCAGGAGUGAAAGCCCGGGGCCCAACCACGGGACUGCUCUUGGAACUGCGUUGCUAGAGUGCAGGAGGGGCAGGCGGAAUUCCUGGUGUAGCGGUGAAAUGCGUAGAUAUCAGGAGGAACACCGGUGGCGAAGGCGGCCUGCUGGACUGCAACUGACGUUGAGGCCCGAAAGCGUGGGGAGCAAACAGGAUUAGAUACCCUAGUAGUC